CCUGAGCUGAGAUCAAGAGCCAGACUCUUAACCGACUGAGCCACCCAAGCACCCAGAUACUGAACCAUGAACUGCAUCACCGAGAGGCAGCCAUCCUGAUAGGACAGUGGAAUGACCUGUUGACAUUCCAGGGUGUUUUCAAAUUCAAUCACUGCGUCACUCAAGGGCAUGUGCAGCUGAGAAGACCACCUUUGGGUUUUGUUCCAAGUACUUUACAUGGAUCAGCUCUUCUGUGCCCACAACCAUCCUAUGAGCCACAAAUAAAAAUGACCCUCUUGACCUACAAUUUCUUCAGACGUCAUAACUUCAUAACUCAACUGCUCACGCAAAGUUCCCACCUAUCGUGAAUUUCAGGAUUAUCACUCGCUCAUCAUUACAGGAAUACUUCAGUCAACAGAAUAGGAAGAUCUAGUCAUAGAAGCACAGAAAGCCAUUACCAUGCAAUCACUCAAAAGUAAUUAUAGAGUCACAGUAAGUUGCAAAAACAGCCAGAGACGAUCCCAUGUCACCAUCAGUCAGCUUUCUCUGAAAAAGAAAGGUAUUCAUCUUCCCUAACUGCGGUGCAUUGGAGACCAGCCCAUCGACAUCAGCAAACCACAGUGAACUAAAGUACCAAGUAGUUCUUUUUAACACUCAAAACCCUGAAGUAAGAUACACGGAAAAGUUCACACCUAAGCGUGGUGAGUUUUCACAGAUGGAACACACCUGCGUAAGCCGCCCUCUCGGCACAUGGUCCCACUCCCGAACCAGCCUCCCGGUUUCUGGGAGCACAUGUUAGCCCUGCUCGUGUGGCGCUGGCAACCACAGGGCCGUGGGCAUAUCUCUGUGUCUCCUCCACUCCCUGAAAAAUUUGCCAUCACGCCCCUAUCCAUCCACUGCUGCUGGGCACUGGGUCCUUUCCAGCGUGGGGCUGUUGCGAACAGGGUUUCUAGGACUAUCGGCUGCGGCCAGGAGUGGAAUCGCGGGGUCGUGGGGUAGAUGUUGGCUCAGCCUUAGUGGAUACGUGGUAGAUGCUUAGUUUUCCAGAGUGCAUGACAUUAAUUCACACCCCCUCCCGCAGUGUGUGAGAGUUCCACUGCGCCCCACUGUUUCCAACUUCCCCAUUCUGGUGGAGAUUUAGUGCAUUUGGGGG